GUCCUUAUAGUUUAUCGGUAAAACAUAGUACUGUUAAUACUAAUAGAUAGGUUCGACUCCUAUUAAGGACU
rfam:Sugiyamaella lignohabitans strain CBS 10342 mitochondrion genome.